CAUGUGUAUAAAGGAUCACAGUAUAAAUUCAUUUCUUACUGAGGGUUUUGUUCAAAACAUUUUCAGAACACUUUUAGGUGAGGCUUAUGUGAAGGUCAUCCCUCUGUUACUGGAUAUGAAAGACCAUGACGUAAGAAAAGCCUGGAUCCUGUGCAAUGAAAGCAGAGGUUUAACCCUGGGCUCGGAGUCGAGAUAUUAGAGCGUGGACACGGGACCUGGCUUGGCCAAUCACUUCUCCCACCUGCAACACAGAGUCUUGAACUAACAGCACAAAGAAGAACUUUCGUCUCCAUUCUGAAAGCAUGGAAGACAGUAUCAUAUACCUCUGCUCUAUGAAAACCCGACAGCCACACGAG
ensembl:lncRNA